GCUGCCGCCACCCCCCGCCCCGCCGGUUCCUAGUGGCCCCCCAGCGGCGAGCCCCGUUGGCUGCGUGCCGGGUGUGGCGGGGUGUGCUCGGGCCGGGCCGGGGCAGCGGGGCUCCCUUAGCUGUAGGCACGCACAGGGCGAGGCCCCACCGGCGCGCUGCCGGCCAGACCUAGCUCCCCAUUAAAACGCGGCAAACCCCGGCCUUCUGAGAGGGCUUGUAAAGGUACUCAGCGCGGAUGCUAACGCUUCUCGCUUGCCGGUCCUGCAAACACCUCCCACCUGCCCAGCUUCAGGCUUCACUUCACUGGGACUGGCCAGGGUGCACGCAGGAGCGGGAGCUGUUUUCUAGCUGGAGCGGCAAACAGAGAAAAUAGUAGGUGUGUGCUGUAUAGAGGUAAAUUGGGCUGAACCAGUCUGCCUUUCUCCAGGAUGGGGAAGACUGGGGCACAAGGAAGAGAAGUGACUUCCCUUGGUGUUACAGCGUAUCUGAGAACAGAACACACACUCCUAACUCUCAGUCCAAUGCCGUAUUUACUAGAGCAUAUAAAGCCUCACCAGAAAGCAGAUCCAAUGCAAUUACAAUACGGAUAAUCUCAUUAACUCUUUAGCCAAUCCCAUUCUCAAACUUUCAGGCUGUUAUAAAGCUACAGGAAAUAUAUUUUAGAAGAGAUACAUCCAUCUUCAUUACACUGCUCUCUUUCCUAUUAAUUUAUUUGUUGGCCAAACCCUGCUUGUCUUACUUGUGAGCAAGUAAAUGGGAAUACAGCGGAAAGACUUCACCCUGAAUGUUAUAGUUGCAGGAAGGGAGAAACCACAACCCAUUAUUGGGAGCUCCGGAAAUGAAUUGGUGUGUAGUGUUAUUGCAAUGAUUAUUAAUUGAAUUCCACUGAAAACAGCUAGGGAUUACAACAUCCUGAAUGUGAACUCAGAGGACAAAGAUGUGCACAGUUGAGCUUUUAGUCAGAUGGAAACAGUUGAAGAUGAGAUGCAAGCUCUCUGAGCCUCAAUUAUAAACAGGGUCCCUGAAAAUCACCAGUGUUUCAUGGAUCAUUUCUGCAGGAGCAUUUUUAUAGAUCUGUUGUCAGUUAUGCAUCACUCGUAUGUGUUGGCAGAAUCCACUGACUAUAAAUUUUUAGAAAACUCAACAUCUUAUGUGCAUGUAAAGAAAGUUAGAGUUCCAGCCAACUAGCACAUAUGCAACAUUUAAUGAUUGUAAUGUCAGCAGGUGAUUUGAAAUUUCAUUAAACCCGCUCCCCUUUUAAUAUUCCUGGUGGUUUGAAAUAUGUUUUGGAAUCUCAAAGUACUGCAUGUUUGGUUCUGCAGCUGAGGAAGCUGAGGUUGCAACAGUGAAGUUACUGUAUGACCUUUGGCAUGCUGGGAAAUAUAAGCCAAGACUCCUGACUCCCAGAUCUCUACUUUAGAAACAAAGCAAUAAUGGUAAUCCCUAAUACUGAAUGGGAUUCUGUGAUUCUCAGUUGGAGGCUGGGAGAGGAAGAGAGGCAUGUUUUAAAACAGACCUCCCCAUUUGUUCAUUCUCCUGCACUCUGCUUUCUGUCUUCCUCACCCUCUUCCCUUCCAU